rnacentral:other from 1 species
ACCUUCCUGCCGUGUACGACCGUCCACACUACAUUUGCCUUGACCCUAUUUAGCGACCCAGGGUCAGCGAAACGAGCGUCGGUGUGCAGGUCCGCCACGAGCGGAAAGCCUAAAGCCUCGCGAGCUUUCCCACCUCAUCCGAGGGAUCAAGGUCGUCGCGUGGACAUCGGCAUGGCGGUGGGUGC